rnacentral:rRNA from 1 species
CCUACGGGAGGCAGCAGUAGGGAAUCUUCCACAAUGGGCGCAAGCCUGAUGGAGCAACGCCGCGUGUGUGAUGAAGGGUUUCGGCUCGUAAAACACUGUUAUAAGAGAAGAACGGCACUGAGAGUAACUGUUCAGUGUGUGACGGUAUCUUACCAGAAAGGAACGGCUAGUUCGUGCCAGCAGCCGCGGUAAU